CUAGCGAAACUGCCGGUGUAAACCGUGAGGAAGGUGGGAUGACGUCAAAUCAGCACGGCCCUUAUGUCCAGGGCUACACACGUGUUACAAUGGCCGGUACAGAGGGCAGCUACCUGGAGACAGGAUGCGAAUCUCCAAAGCCGGUCUCAGUUCGGAUCGGAGUCUGCAACUCGACUCCGUGAAGCUGGAUUCGCUAGUAAUCGCGCAUCAGCCAUGGCGCGGUGAAUACGUUCCCGGGCCUU
rnacentral:rRNA from 1 species